rnacentral:rRNA from 1 species
GAUGAACGCUGGCGGCGUGCCUAAUACAUGCAAGUCGAGCGAACGGACGAGAAGCUUGCUUCUCUGAUGUUAGCGGCGGACGGGUGAGUAACACGUGGAUAACCUACCUAUAAGACUGGGAUAACUUCGGGAAACCGGAGCUAAUACCGGAUGAUAUUUUGAACCGCAUGGUUCAAAAGUGAAAGACGGUCUUGCUGUCACUUAUAGAUGGAUCCGCGCUGCAUUAGCUAGUUGGUAAGGUAACGGCUUACCAAGGCAACGAUGCAUAGCCGACCUGAGAGGGUGAUCGGCCACACUGGAACUGAGACACGGUCCAGACUCCUACGGGAGGCAGCAGUAGGGAAUCUUCCGCAAUGGGCGAAAGCCUGACGGAGCAACGCCGCGUGAGUGAUGAAGGUCUUCGGAUCGUAAAACUCUGUUAUUAGGGAAGAACAUAUGUGUAAGUAACUGUGCACGUCUUGACGGUACCUAAUCAGAAAGCCACGGCUAACUACGUG